rnacentral:rRNA from 1 species
UACGUAGGGGGCUAGCGUUGUCCGGAUUUAUUGGGCGUAAAGAGCGUGUAGGCGGCCAGGUAGGUCUGCUGUGAAAACUCGAGGCUCAACCUCGAGACGUCGGCGGAAACCAUCUGGCUAGAGUCCGGAAGAGGAGAGUGGAAUUCCUGGUGUAGCGGUGAAAUGCGCAGAUAUCAGGAAGAACACCAAUAGCGAAGGCAGCUCGCUGGGACGGUACUGACGCUGAGGCGCGAAAGCUAGGGGAGCAAACGGG